UAAUACGUAUGGUGCGAACGUUGUUCGGAAUCACUGGGCUUAAAGCGGGCGUAGGCGGUUUGGUCAGUCCGUUGUGAAAGCCCUCGGCUCAACCGAGGAAUUGCAACGGAUACUGCCAAGCUAGAGUGCAGGAGGGGAGAGUGGAAUUCCUGGUGGAGCGGUGAAAUGCGUAGAUAUCAGGAGGAACGCCGGUGGCGAAAGCGACUCUCUGGCCUGUUACUGACGCUGAGGCCCGAAAGCUAGGGGAGCGAACGGGAUUAGAUACCCCGGUAGUCCUAGCCCUAAACGAUGGGCACUAGGUGGAGGGCGUUCCGAUACCUUCUCUGCCGAAGCUAACGUAAUUAGUGCCCCGCCUGGGGAGUAUAGUCGCAAGGCUG
rnacentral:rRNA from 1 species